GCAACAAAUAAACCCCAAUAUUACUUUAUUUUGCAUGACAUGGUGAUCUAAAAGCUCCUUCUGCAUACAUUAAUAAAUCUGUUUAUUAUUAUUUUUGUAAUAACACAAUGGAGUUUAUUUACUAAACCUCUUACUGUAGUGAAUUAAAAGCUGAAAACUAUAGUCACGAGAUAGCUAGUUAUGACAAAAAUUCCGUUCACUACAAUUAGUUUCAGUAAAUAAAUACUAUAGAAUUGAUGUACAUAAAUUACCAUCUGAUUUUAAAUAUCUUCUAAUUUAUAAAUAAUAUGUGUAAGUAUGCAUUAUAUGUUAAAAUAGCCACUGUACAUUUAAAAUAUGAAUUUAAACAAUAAAAUGAUCUUUGCAGUACUUUUACCACAAUAAAAUGGAUACCGUUUUGGAUUGAUGGAGUUUAGAUGUUGCAACAGCGAUUAGCAUAAAUCUGAUUGCUUUGACCUAUAUAGUAAUGCUGCUAUAUGCACUGAUGCUAUGCUGAGAAAGAAUUUUAAUUGAACGAACAAAUUGUUGCAAAUUCUACAUGUAUAUUUUUGAAGUUUCCAGAAGGGAGACAGUUUAUAGUAACUUGUUGUAAGAUAUGUCAAAACUGGAAAAAAUAUUCUUUCACUUUUAUAUGAUAUUUACAAUGAUAUGUAUUACUAUCACUUAUCUUGUCAAAUGUAAUACCAGGUUUUAAUAUACUGUAUGUUAAAAUGGAUUACUUUAUAUCAUUACAUCAUGUAUUCCAAUUAUUGUCACAAAAACUUAACAAUUAUGGCUUCAGAUAACAUUCUAAAGCAAAGACAAUCUUACCUUGUUCACUUUUAGGUGCA